GUUUGGUUCCGACCGUUACAACGUCAAGUUCAGCGUGCGGAGAUUUUUGUGCGUCGUCGUCGCCGUCGUCGUUUACAAUUGUUUUGUUACUCUGCGCGUCGUCGUCGUCGUCGUUGUCGUUAUCGUCGUUUCUUUUGUGGUCGUCCCACAAAAAGCUUGCUACUUGCAGAAGUGCCGUUAAAGGCUCGAAGGCGGCAAAUUAAAAACAAACAAAAUUCUAUAUUGUUUGCGUUUUUUGGGCGAAAAAUUAAAAGUGUUCUAAGCCAUAUCGGGUUCAUAGAAAAUGUACAAAACUUAAACAAAAUCAGUGCACAAAUAAGAAUAAAAAUAAAAGUAAUACGCAAAAUAUAACAAAAUAUACUUAAGCAAACAAUAAAAAAGAAAAUAAGGUGAAGGAAAUUAACACGCAAAAAAAAAGUAGUUUUUUGUGCUAAACCCCCCUCGCCGCGCGAAAGUAUAUAAAAAGGCGGGCAACAUUUAUUACAAUAUCAGCUUUAACAAUAACAACAACAACCAAACGAACGGCAACAGAAUGCUAUUCGAGAAUCCAGCCGUCGCGGCCAAGCUGCCGUUUCCAUACAAUGUGCCGCCGCCUCUGCAAGCGGCGGCCGCCGCUGCCGCAGCUGUGCCAAAUUUAAGCCAGCCAGCCAGCAGCAGAGCCCCGAGUGCUACGCGAUAUUACCCUAUAAUUUUUUUUAAGUUACUUCCGCAAAUUUCAAUCAUUUAUUAGCCCACAAGUUGGUCGGAUUUUGUUUAAUUUUCAGUUAAGAUGUCUUAUUAAUAUUCAUUUAAGAGCCACAGUGGUGCAAGAGUGCAAGAAGAAGGAAAAACAAACAUUAAACUAAUAGUUAAAU